rnacentral:rRNA from 1 species
GACGUAGGGCGCGAGCGUUGUUCCGGAUUUAUUGGGCGUAAAGAGCUCGUAGGCGGCUUGUCGCGUCGACUGUGAAAACCCGCGGCGUCAACUGCGGGCUUGCAGGUCGAUACGGGGCAGGCUAGAGUUCGGUAGGGGGAGACUGGAAUUCCUGGUGUAGCGGUGAAAUGCGCAGAUAUCCGGAGGAACACCGGUGGCGAAGGCGGGUCACUGGACUGGUAUUGGACGCUGAGGUGCGAAAGCUAGGGGAGAAACAGG